UACGAAGGGGGCUAGCGUUGCUCGGAAUCACUGGGCGUAAGGCGCACGUAGGCGGCUUCUUAAGUCAGGGGUGAAAUCCUGGAGCUCAACUCCAGAACUGCCUUUGAUACUGAGGAGCUCGAGUCCGGAAGAGGUGAGUGGAACUGCGAGUGUAGAGGUGAAAUUCGUAGAUAUUCGCAAGAACACCAGUGGCGAAGGCGGCUCACUGGUCCGGUACUGACGCUGAGGUGCGAAAGCGUGGGGAGCAAACAGG
rnacentral:rRNA from 1 species